rnacentral:lncRNA from 1 species
GAGGAAAGAGUAUGAAAGAGGGGCAAAAAAGAAUGAUAUGUUGGCAGCAUUAUUGGCAGGGGAUGAUAAAUUUUCAGAUGAACAAAUAGUGGAUUUUUUGGUAGCAUUGCUUGUUGCUGGUUAUGAAACAACUUCAACUAUCAUGACUCUUGCUGUCAAGUUCUUGACUGAGACACCUCUUGCUUUGGCUCAACUCAAGGUAUGUCUUCAUUCCUUUUUAAAUAUUGAAAUUUUGUUAAAUUUGGCUUUGGUCCCUCUAGUGCAGUGCAUUUAGUUUUCAGUUUUUCUUCAUGCUACAAUAUCGUUAUAAUAUCUAAUAUAAAUACACCGUUCAUCCAAAUAAACCCUAAAUUUUCUAUUUAAGUAUAGUAAAAAAAUCAAAAUUAUAAUUUAACCUACAAAAAUUUCAUAGUGGGGGAUCUUAAGAAAAGAAAGUAAUAAAUCUAAAAAAUUGGGGCAUUGCUUUUUCUCAAGUAAUCAAUUUUCAUAACCUUAAAAAAGUAAAUAAAAAGCCUUUACAAAGCAUUCACACAUGAAAUAAUGAGAUGAUUAAAUCACAUGGCCUUACUUUACUUAUUAAAAGUAU